rfam:Strigomonas culicis Cont7548, whole genome shotgun sequence.
GAACGGGGACUCUCUGGAUGCCUUUACUUUCAGUGUAGAACUGUAUCCUCAUCGGUUCCCGAAGAUG